rnacentral:rRNA from 1 species
UACGUAGGGUGCGAGCGUUGUCCGGAAUCAUUGGGCGUAAAGAGCGUGUAGGCGGCCAGGUAGGUCUGCUGUGAAAACUCGAGGCUUAACCUCGAGAUGUCGGCGGAAACCAUCUGGCUAGAGUCCGGAAGAGGAGAAUGGAAUUCCCGGUGUAGCGGUGAAAUGCGCAGAUAUCGAGGAGGAACACCGGUGGCGAAGGCGGAUCUCUGGGCCGAUACUGACGCUGAGGAGCGAAAGCGUGGGGAGCGAACAGG